GGUGAAUUCAACAUUGAUUGGGAAUGAGGUAACCACAAACACCGCUGUCUCAAAUGAAAAGGGAUUCAAGAUCUGACCCAGAAAACAAGCAUCGUAACCACCAGAUAAAAUUUUAAUGAUAAACACAAGAUGCUCUACAUAUAAGCAAGACUGAAGUCUCUCAUGCUAAGCCAUCAACGUAAGGUUUUCUUAGAAAGAGGAGCCGCCAGCAGCCUCUCGACCCACAGAUCAAGUUUCAUCCUAUAGAUCCACAGAACUCGGCCAUCGUGCCCUGUGCCGGCAUAAUCUGUAAUGUUGAACAGACCCCGAGGGAACAGAGAGGCAGAGAGAGAAGGACUGGCAUCUGGACUCGUAGGGGGCCUGCCCUUCAGGAGCUCCAGAGAAGAAAUUCAUAAUUGGCUUUGAGAUUCAAGGCUCUCCUUGAAUCUCCUUGCGACUCUUUCAGUCCAGUCUCAGCCUUCUGUCCUCAAGUGUCUUCUGACACUCUAGGCAGAGAUCCCUUUAAGCUGGAAUGAUCGAAGUACCUUCUGGAGUUCCCACCAAACUGUAGCAUCCGUGGGUAGAAAGGAGCUGCAUAUUAGGCGAUUGUAGGCCCACAUUUUAGCAAUGAGGUGGAGAGGCCCAACGUGCAUCGAUAACUUAAUGGACAGAAUCGCAAGUAUCUGGACCAUCAAUCUUUCUAAAACUAGUUCUGCAGCACUCCCAAGAAGGGCUUUCACCUCUAAAUCAUAGCCAGUAAAACAGAAACUGAAGAAAAGCCUGCCUCCUGGGUAUAUCUUGUUUAAAGCAGAAAUACUUUUUUUCAUAGGCACUGCAUACCACAAAAUAUUAAAAUAAUCUGACUGUGUGGAAUUUCUAUUCAAAAGGUGCUCUUUAAGGAAUGCUGCUUAAGGAAAGAUUUUUCUUUAAAGAAAAGGACUCCUCUACUACUGAGUUUUAAAGUCCAAGGUUUGUUUUGUUUCCCAUAGGCAGGAACUUCCCUAAGGCGUCUCACUCCAUAGCAGAUCCAAACUCAGAAAUUUAAGUGUUCUGGUUUCUACUUUAUGGCAUUAAGUAUAUAGUCUGAGGCUGUAGUUCAUGACAUCUUCCUAAUCCAAAAAGAAAACUGAUCUUAUUGUACAGUAAAUAAAUAUAUAAAUGUACCUCUGUAACAAAGUAGGAAGACUUCAUCAAAGUGGUUUUUGGGACAGAAGCUGAAGGAAUUUACAGAAGCUAAAAUUAAAUGUAUUGGCCAUGGAGAAAAAAAAAAAUUUCAGGACAACUUAAGUAACAAAUAGGUACUAUAUGGUGGGGAAGGAAGAUUAUGUGUGGCCACAGCCCUUCUUCACAAUAAGGGAUUUAGAAAAAGAGAAUGAGAACAGGGCCUGUCUGUGCCAACACUUACUAUUUUUGCUUGACUUUUUUAUGUCUUCACAAAAUACAAACUGUUUGCCUUAAUGAAAAUCUCACAUAACAUGCCACAAGAGUGAUUUAAAAGCUGGGAAAGACAUAUUGAGACAAAUGGAUCACAGAUCUGCUCUAUACCACGUGCUUCUCACCCUUGCUGCGGCGCUCUCACGUCCUUGGGAGCAGAAUCACGGAGACUCUCCCUCUUCCACAUGGGCUGCAACUGAGGGAGGUACAUGCUCUCAAGGGAAGCUAAGGUCACUGGUACUCAGAGGGUGGUAUGAGAAAAAUGAAAGACCUUCAGAUGCAGAGCACUCAGUGGAAACGGUUUUGCUUACCCAGCAAUGACCACGCCAUCGUGAGAAUGCACAUCACGCAAAACUGCGUCAGGAACAUGCUCCAGCUCGCUCACAGCACCUUUGCGAUUCUGCGUGAGGAAAAGGGGGAUGCAGUUUAGACUAUUCUCGGGACAGCCCGAAAGCCAAGCAUCGCGCUUUUUCACCUACUUUCCACAGCAAUUCUCUACAGCAUGGACAGCAAGUGCAUUCAAAGUUCUGUGGGCAUUCAAAAAGACAAAGAUGAUGACUAACAUGCUAAGCUGUUAAGCAUGGACGAGUUACUAUAUAUCCCAAAGGCACUGAACUCGAGGACACAGGAUGUGUGAGACACUGCCCCAUCCUCCAGGAGGUUACAGAAUAGAAAGCAAAUAUGUGCUCACCAAUAACUACCAUCCACAAUAGGCUGGCAUGUAUCUGCUGGGAGUGGCAAGUAUCUAAAGAAACUUAUAAAGUAUAUGAAAAAGUUCAGUUCAGCAAAAAGAAAGUAUUACAUGAUACCUUACCUGUUAAUUCUUAUAAGGACUCUCAGAAUAAAAUGCAAAAUUAUAUACAAAUAGAUAAAGAUCAGGAUGAGGAAAAGGAGAAGAGAUGAUAUAUUUCUAACUAAGAGGCCAGAGAUUUCAUGGAAAUGGUAUUUGAAUGAAAGUCUAGGCCAGGCACAGUGGCUCAUGCCUGUAAUUCCAGCACUUUGGGAGGCAGAGGCAGGAAGAUCACUUGAGCUCAGAUGUUUGAGACCAGCCUGUGCAACACAGGGAGACCCCAUCUCUGCAAAAAAUUUAAAAGAUAGUCAGGUGUGGUGGCAUGCACCUGUAGUCCCAACUAUUUGAGAGGAUGAGGCAUGAGGAUCACUUGAGUCCAGGAACUUAAGGCUACAGUGAGUUAUGAUUGCAACACUGUACUUCAGCCUGGGCAAGAGAGUGAGAACCUAUCUCUAAAAAAAUAAAAAAUUAAAUUGAAUUAAAAUGAA
rnacentral:antisense_RNA from 1 species